AUGAGACUGUAUUUAGUUUCCGUAUAAAAGAAGAGCACAUCGAUGAAUGCAGAGCGAACCUCUGCUGACUAUAAAACAAGGAUUCUCUCUUUGGAUCUUUACUGCGUGACUUUGGUCAUCUACAUCUCUCUCCGUCUCACAGAUACGAAUGGAGUGUAAAAAGACAAUAAAGGAAACAAAAACUACAGGAGCAUCAGAAAGUGCAGAUGAGCAAAAAACGAGGACAGAGAGAGGUGGAGGUAGGAAUAAGACACAAACCUGUGAAUCACAAGAGAAAAGCAGACAGAUAUCAGCUAGAUGUGAGAGUAUGGAGGCGCUAAAGCCGUACUUGUAAUGUGAUCCGGAGCAUAUGUUUCUGAUGUCACAAGAUUCUCCCAUCGAACCCUUCAUCACUGAAGUCCAUCAUCAUCAUCAUCAUCAUCAUCAGACUUCUGAUCAGCUGCUGUCUUCUGGAAGCUUUUACACUCGUCUGAGCACAAAAACAUUUCAAGAGCUUCUUUCCCAGAGAAUCUGCUGAUGCAGCACUUUACUCUCAAUCAUAUGCAUCAGAUUUUUUUGUUUAACAAAAUUUUUCAAUUUACACUGCCUCAUAUUUUAUGCAUUUUCAUUUACAAUGCAUGUUUUUGUAUUCCUGAGAUUUAAUUCUGAUUGGAAUACAAAAACAUGCAUAGUAAAUGAAAAUGCAUGCAUUAUUAAGCAGUGGCUUAUAUGAUAUGAUAUUUAUAUGAUAUAUAUGACACAAUAUGAUAUUGUGAAUUAAUUCAUAGAUUCUAUGCACCUGAUUUCAAUCAGAAUGACCAUUUGUGAAUUUAAUGCAUCUGGCUUCCACUCUAAUGCACUUCCAGUUAUUUUUAGCUGUUCAAAACAGCUGUUUAAAAUCGCAAAACCUGGGUUUUAUCAUGGUAUUUUAAUGAUUCGUCAUUAUAGAUACACUGGCCUGUAGUGCAAUUUGUUAUACAAUUUCUGACAUUCAAAUCUUCUAGUAUUUUCAUAUUGCAGCUGUUGAAUCUGAAGUCUCUCACGUUCAGAAAAAAACAUUUUGCUAAUUUAUUUUGCAUCCUUCCAUAUACCAUUUGUUGUAUAUGUAUUUAUUAAUUUUUCACCCUAUUCUUAAUAGACUGUAAUGAUUCAGUAUUCUGAUGCAGUGCAACUGACUCCAAGCUAUUUGUGCACUAUAGUGUCCUCCGUUCUCAAACUGCUCGUCACAUGUAGGUUUAUAUCGAUGCUGGAGUCAGAAACAGCAUCUCACAGCUGGACAUGACCCUGGACAGAUGGCCGGUCCAUCACAUUUCUCACUCAAACACAAACACACACAAACACACACACACACAUACACAGAUAUGUGUAAUGUCUCAAGUUACUGUGACUUUGAGCUUCAUGAGCUCAGAAUAUUUCUAGGUGUUUCGAGUGAUGAGCAGGAAAUCUCUACUGGAUUCAUUUAAUAAAGUCACAAGAGUUUGUGAGAAAUCACUAAACGCAGACAGAAUGUUUGAGACAUGACUGAAGUCGAUCUACUGACUGGAAUCCAUCACUUCUGCUAUUUUCAUCUGUUCUGCAGCUUUCAAUGCUUUGAGAAGAAUCCAGGGCCACGAUUCACAAAACAUCUGAAGGCUAAAAGUAGCUCACCAAUUUAGGAGAAAAUCUUAAAAUAAUGGUUAUGUCGUGUCUAAAUUGUCGUGUCUAACAACGUCCCUCAGCUGUAUAAAUUUACUGUAAACCACGGCUUCUUGGGGAUUAUUGCUUUAACAAGCGAUGUUGAAAUGUGAAAAUAAAAUGCUCUUCUGAUCUGUUUCUGUCAGCGAAUCACUUGAACUGAAUGAUCGAAGUCUCCAGUUUGAUUCAGUCGAAGCGGUUCAAGUGUAAAUGACUCACUCAAUUGAAUCAGUUUCCUCAAAAA